rnacentral:rRNA from 1 species
GACGAACGCUGGCGGCGUGCCUAACACAUGCAAGUCGAACGGGGUAGAGAGCUUCGGUUUUCUACUUAGUGGCGAACGGGUGAGUAACGCGUGAAGAACCUGCCUUUCAGUGGGGGACAACAGUUGGAAACGACUGCUAAUACCGCAUAAUGUUAUUUGAGGGCAUCCUCGAAUAACCAAAGCUUUAUGUGCUGAAAGAUGGCUUCGCGUCUGAUUAGCUAGAUGGCGGGGUAACGGCCCACCAUGGCGACGAUCAGUAGCCGGACUGAGAGGUUGAACGGCCACAUUGGGACUGAGACACGGCCCAAACUCCUACGGGAGGCAGCAGUGGGGGAAUAUUGCACAAUGGGGGAAACCCUGAUGCAGCGACGCCGCGUGAGUGAAGAAGUAUUUCGGUACGUAAAGCUCUAUCAGCAGGGAGAAAUUGACAGUACCUGACUAAGAAGCCCCGGCUACCUACGUG